rfam:Clostridium symbiosum WAL-14163 genomic scaffold supercont1.17, whole genome shotgun sequence.
CCGCACAGCCGGGGAGUUAGCGGUGCCCUGUACCUGCAAUCCGCUACAGCAGGGGUGAUGUCCUUGCCGAGGGCGUUAUGUUGCAGAGCUGCCCCUUGAAAGUGGCGUUGAAGUCUGGGUCUUACGCAACAGGAAUCUGUGAACCGUGUCAGGGCAGGAAUGCAGCAGCACUAAGCAGAAGCUCUUGUGUGCCGUGAGGCUGCCUGGGCGGAGUUAACUGCAAGGGUAACGUUUGUGAUAUACGUUCGAAGCAGGAUGUGCGG